rnacentral:misc_RNA from 1 species
GAUGAAGAACGUAGCGAAAUGCGAUCAGUAAUGUGAAUUGCAGAAUUCAGUGAAUCAUCGAAUCUUUGAACGCACAUUGCGCCCGUCAGUAUUCUGGCGGGCAUGCCUGUUCGAGCGUCAUUACGCCCCUCAAGUCCCCUGUGGACUUGGUGUUGGGGAUCGGCGAGGCUGGUUUUCCAGCACAGCCGUCCCUUAAAUUAAUUGGCGGUCUCGCCGUGGCCCUCCUCUGCGCAGUAGUAAAACACUCGCAACAGGAGCCCGGCGCGGUCCACUGCCGUAAAACCCCCCAACUUUUUAUAGUUGACCUCGAAUCAGGUAGGACUACCCGCUGAACUUAAGCAUAUCAAUAAGCGGAGGA